rnacentral:lncRNA from 1 species
UUAAUUAUUAUAAUGUUUAAAAAACAAAAAAACACCAAGAAUAUAAUUAAUUAUAUAUAUUAUUCACAUAUAUGUUUGGACUUUAAUUAUUCUUGUUCUUGCUUAUCAUCAUCACUAGUUUGAAUAUUCUUGUGUUCUUCUAUGGUUUUUGGCAAGUCAAUUAUGUUUAUUAUUCAUUGUUGGACCAAAGUUUGCACUUAUGAUGCUUACUUUGACUAAUUUGGUUGAUGCAUAUUUCUCAACUGGUCCAUAACUCACCACUUUUACAUAAUAUAUAGCUUCUGCUCUCUCUCUCUCUCUCUCUCUCUCUCUCUCUCUCUCUCUCUCUAUAUAUAUAUAUAUAUAUAUAUAUAUAUAUAUAUAUAUAUAUAUAUAUAUAUAUAUACCCCUUUAAAUACCCCUUAUUAUAAUGAUGGAGGUUUUUGACCAACACCUGGAAUCGAAAUCAAGGGUAACUCGAGUUUUAUUAAUGAUGAUCGAGAAACCACGAUCAAGGGAAAUGAAUUGUAAUUAAACUCUUUAAGUUGCCUAAACAAGUUUGAUAAGUACGUCAAAAAUCAGGAUCUAAUUAAACAUCUAUAAAUUAAUACAGUCGGGACUUGCAAAAAAAUAUUAAUUUACCGAAAUAUUAAAUUGUCGAACUAAUAAUUUAGUAAGUUUUUACCGAGUCAGCACUAGAAGAAAAUAUUAUUUAAGCGAAGUUAUUAAUUUAUCGAGGUUCUGCUGUAAAUAAUUGAAUUGGUGGGUACUUGUCUCUUUCGCAUCUAAUAUUAGAUAUGAGCUGAUGAUAUUAUGAAUUAUGAUUCCAGCCAAACAAUUUGACCUUAUGCAUUUUUGCUUUAAAGAGGCAUGCAGUUAAUUAGUUGCCAAAAUUAUGUGCAAUUAAUGGAUUCUUUGUAUUAUUUGAGCAAGUGCAUGCAUCGGUUUUCUAGCUGACUUUUAUUAUACGUUGGAAGUCGUAUUUGCGUGCAUUCAUUAGGAAUUGAAUCUCUACGAAUUUUCCGAUUCGUCAACUAUGAGUUGGGCGCUUUAACCAUUGAAUAACCAAAUUUCGACUGAAGUGAAAUGAAAUCUUUAUGGUGAAUCGAUACGAUUAAUAAGGUGGAAUCACUGAAAGAAAAUCGAUUCAAAUCCUGGAUUUUUGAAUUGAGAGAGAUCGAGAAUUUUUCAUUAUUUCGUAUAUUCAUUCAUGCACCUAAUUGGUGUGUAGGUCAAGUCGCAAUCGAUUGCUGUGAACACUUGUUAUUUGGGAGGUCUGACAAGUGGUAUUAGAAUCAAAGUAACCGGUUCGAUUCCCAGUGGAAAUUUUCUUUUAUAUGUAAUUGAAAGCAAAGAGAAGUUUUGGGGAUUUCGAGUUUUCUCUUCGAUUUUCUCUAUUCCAUUUUGUACUUCACUCCGAACGUUAAGUUUUCAUAUGAUAAAUAUGUGUUGUAAUAUGUUUAUGAUAUGAAAGUUAUUUUACGAUGGAGAUGUGUAAUUUCUCUAAUUUUGAAGUGUUUAUGUAAAUAAAAUUUGGCAAUUUUGAUUGCGCGUCAAUAAUUAACUGAUACGAUAACAAGUUCAAUCGAACAUGCUAAAUUUGAAAAAAAAAAAAUCACUACACGUAAAACUCGAAAUGGGAAAACUUAGACGACUAAAUCCUUUACUAGGCUAACUUACAGAACCAAAAUUCCGAUUCGUCGUUUCACCAAAACUGCAUGGUUUUACAGUGUCCAUGCAUGUAAAUUUGUAAUACACUCAUGCUGUAAUUAAUUCUUUUACAAAACAGAGUAAUAUAUUAAAAGAAAAAAAAGUUUAUUAUUGACACACCUGCCAGAUACUUAUAACAAUACAUAAGAAAUUAUUGCAUUGCAUAAAAUAGUGCAAAUACCAAAACAAAAAAAAAACAAAAAAAAAAGUGUUAAAAUCCAUUAUUGAAAUUAAUUUCUGCUAAUUAAUUAUAAGAGUUAUGAAAAUAUUUUCAGAAACUGAGAAAUGAGAGCAAGAUUCUCUUGGUGAAGGAGAUUAGCUUUCUUCCUCAACUUUUCAUUCUCUUGUAAAAUAAUUAUAUUCUCCAUGUAUAGCUUCAUAUUCUUCAAUUCCAUUUCUUUCCCAUUAUUAUUAAUUAUGCCUUCCUCUCUUUGCUUCCUUCUGUUAAUUAAUAAGUAGCAU